CACGUAGGGUGCGAGCGUUGUCCGGAAUUAUUGGGCGUAAAGAGCUUGUAGGCGGUUUGUCGCGUCUGCCGUGAAAGUCCGGGGCUCAACUCCGGAUCUGCGGUGGGUACGGGCAGACUAGAGUGAUGUAGGGGAGACUGGAAUUCCUGGUGUAGCGGUGAAAUGCGCAGAUAUCAGGAGGAACACCGAUGGCGAAGGCAGGUCUCUAGGCGUAACUUGAACGUGACGUGAGGAGCGAAAGCAUGGGGAGCGAACAGG
rnacentral:rRNA from 1 species